UACGUAGGGGGCAAGCGUUUGUCCGGAUUUAUUGGGCGUAAAGAGCGUGUAGGCGGCCAGGUAGGUGGGUUGUGAAAACUGGAGGCUCAACCUUCAGACGUCGACCCAAACCCCCUGGCUAGAGUCCGGAAGAGGAGAGUGGAAAUUCCUGGUGUAGCGGUGAAAUGCGCAGAUAUCAGGAGGAACACCGGUGGCGAAGGCGGAUCUCUGGGCCUGUUCUGACGCUGAGGCGCGAAAGCUAGGGGAGCGAACAGG
rnacentral:rRNA from 1 species